rnacentral:misc_RNA from 1 species
UCAAAACAGCGGCCUUUGGGCCUCGCUGCACCCUUGUCUUUUGCGCACCGUAUUGUUUCCUCGGCGGGCUUGCCUGCCGGUUGGACAUCAUAAAACCUUUUUGUAGUUGCAAUCAGCGUCAGAAAAACAAUAAUUAUUA